AUACUUACCUGGCAGGGGAGAUACCAUGAUCACGAAGGUGGUUUUCCCAGGGCGAGGCUUAUCCAUUGCACUCCGGAUGUGCUGACCCCUGCGAUUGCGUCUGCCUUCGGCUCAGGUCAUGAUCCCAGGGUCCUGGG
rnacentral:snRNA from 1 species